rnacentral:rRNA from 1 species
AGAGUUUGAUCCUGGCUCAGGAUGAACGCUAGCGGGAGGCUUAACACAUGCAAGUCGAGGGGCAGCAUAGGGUAGCAAUACUCUGAUGGCGACCGGCAGACGGGUGAGUAACGCGUAUGCAACCUACCCUGUACAGGGGGAUAACCCGGAGAAAUUCGGACUAAUAUCCCAUAGUAAUAUCCGGAGGCAUCUUUGGAUAUUUAAAGUUCCGGCGGUACGGGAUGGGCAUGCGUAACAUUAGCUAGUUGGUAGGGUAACGGCCUACCAAGGCUAUGAUGUUUAGGGGUCCUGAGAGGGUGAUCCCCCACACUGGUACUGAGACACGGACCAGACUCCUACGGGAGGCAGCAGUGAGGAAUAUUGGUCAAUGGGCGCAAGCCUGAACCAGCCAUGUCGCGUGCAGGAAGACUGCCCUAUGGGUUGUAAACUGCUUUUAUAGUAGAAGAAACACAUCUACGUGUAGAUGUCUGCCAGUAUACUAUGAAUAAGCAUCGGCUAACUCCGUGCCAGCAGCCGCGGUAAUACGGAGGAUGCAAGCGUUAUCCGGAUUUAUUGGGUUUAAAGGGUGCGUAGGCGGGAAAAUAAGUCAGUGGUGAAAUCCUACAGCUUAACUGCAGAAUUGCCGUUGAUACUGUUUUUCUUGAGUAUGGUCAAGGAAGGCGGAAUGUGUAAUGUAGCGGUGAAAUGCUUAGAUAUUACACAGAACACCAAUUGCGUAGGCAGCUUACUGAGCCGACACUGACGCUGAGGCACGAAAGCGUGGGGAUCGAACAGGAUUAGAUACCCUGGUAGUCCACGCCGUAAACGAUGAU